rnacentral:rRNA from 1 species
UGUAAAAUUUCAAAGGUCGAACAGACCUAAAAUUCUAGCUUCUACACCAAAAUUUAAUUUUAAUCCAACAUCGAGGUCGCAAACUUUUUUAUCGAUAAGAACUCUCCAAAAAAAAUUACGCUGUUAUCCCUAAGGUAAUUUAAUCUUAUAAUCCAAAAAUAAGGAUCAAAUAUUCAUAAAUCAAUGUUAUAAACAAAAAAAAGUUAAUCCAAUUUUUCCAUCGCCCCAACGAAAUACUUAACUAAAACCAAUAAAAUAAAAUCCUUAACUACCAAAAUUAGUAAAAUAUAAAACUCUAUAGGGUCUUCUCGUCUUUAUAAAAAAUUUAAGCUUUUUCACUUAAAAAUGAAAUUCUAAACCAUUUACAUAGAGACAGUUAUUUUCUCAUCAAACCUUUCAUACCAGCUUUCAAUUAAAAAACUAAUGAUUAUGCUACCUUUGCACAGUCAAAAUACUGCGGCCAUUCAAAAAUCAUUGGGCAGGCCAGACUUUAAAUCAAAAUCAAAAAGAC